AUACGGCCAUACUAUGUUGAAACACCGGUUCCCGUACAAUCACCGAAGUUAGGCAACGUUGAGUACUUAGAUGGGUGUCAGCUUGGUAAUACCAGGUGCAGUAAG